CCUACGGGUGGCAGCAGUGAGGAAUAUUGGUCAAUGGGCGGAAGCCUGAACCAGCCAAGUAGCGUGCAGGAUGACGGCCCUACGGGUUGUAAACUGCUUUUAUACGGGAAUAACGCGCCUUACGUGUAGGGCUUUGCAUGUACCGUAUGAAUAAGGACCGGCUAAUUCCGUGCCAGCAGCCGCGGUAAUACGGAAGGUCCGGGCGUUCUCCGGAUUUAUUGGGGUAAAAGGGAGCGUAGGCCGGCUGUCAAGCGUGCUGUGAAAUGUGCGGGCUCAACCCGGGCCUUGCAGCGAGAACUGGCGUGCUUGAGUCCGCGGAAAGCAGGCGGAAUUCGUCGUGUAGCGGUGAAAUGCUUAGAUAUGACGAAGAACUCCGAUUGUGAAGGCAGCAUACCGGCGCCCAACUGACGCUGAAGCACGAAAGCGUGGGUAUCGAACAGGAUUAGAUACCCCAGUAGUC
rnacentral:rRNA from 1 species